rnacentral:rRNA from 1 species
AGGGUUUGAUCAUGGCUCAGAACGUACGCUGGCGGCACGCCUAACACAUGCAAGUCGAACGAAGUAGCAAUACUUAGUGGCAAACGGGUGAGUAACAUGUGGGUAUCUGCCCUUCGGCCUGGAAUAACACGAGGAAACUUGUGCUAAUACCAGAUAAGUCUUUUAAGAGAAAGCUUUAUGCACCGAUGGAUGAGCCCGCACCUGAUUAGUUAGUUGGUGAGGUAAUAGCUCACCAAGACAAUGAUCAGUAGCUGAUUUGAGAGGAUGAUCAGCCACAUUGGGACUGAGACACGGCCCAAACUCCUACGGGAGGCAGCAGUGGGGAAUCUUGCACAAUGGGGGAAACCCUGAUGCAGCGAUGCCGCGUGAGUGAAGAAGGCCUUUGGGUUGUAAAGCUCUUUCGUCGGGGAAGAAAAUGACUGUACCCGAAUAAGAAGGUCCGGCUAACUUCGUGCCAGCAGCCGCGGUAAUACGAAGGGACCUAGCGUAGUUCGGAAUUACUGGGCUUAAAGAGUUCGUAGGUGGUUAAAAUAGUUGGUGGUGAAAUCCCAGAGCUUAACUCUGGAACUGCCAUCAAAACUUUUUAGCUAGAGUAUGAUAGAGGAAAGUAGAAUUUCUAGUGUAGAGGUGAAAUUCGUAGAUAUUAGAAAGAAUACCAAUUGCGAAGGCAGCUUUCUGG